rnacentral:rRNA from 1 species
CACCACAGAAGGUAAUAGUCCUGUAUGUUAAACGAGAAGACUUUAGAUAUGAUCCAGAGUACCACGGGACACGUGAAACCCUGUGGGAAGCAGGAGGGACCACCCUCCAAGGCUAAAUACUACCUAGUGACCGAUAGCGUAUAGUACCGUGAGGGAAAGGUGAAAAGAACCCCGGGAGGGGAGUGAAAUAGAACCUGAAACCCUGCACUUACAAGCUGGGGAAGCACAUUUCUGGUGUGACCGCGUACUGUGUGGAGAACGGGCCAACGAGUAACGUGAAGUAGCAAGGUUAAGCACUUAAGGGGCGGAGCCGUAGCGAAAGCGAGUUUUACGUGAGCGUUCAGUUAGUGGACGUAGACCCGAAACCGGGCGACCUACCCAUGAGCAGGAUGAAGCGAAAGUAAAACUUCGUGGAGGUCCGAACCCACGAGCGUUGAAAAGCUCGGGGAUGACUUGUGGGUAGCGGUGAAAUUCCAAUCGAGCCCGGAGAUAGCUGGUUCU